rnacentral:lncRNA from 1 species
CCCCAUCUUACCUUUCCAACUGCUGCCAAGUGACCUUGCUCCACGCUCUGUCUGCUCCACCCGGGGCCAACCUCCCUUGGUGUUCCUCUCGAAGCUACGCCAUUCUCAGAUGACAUUUUCUGUGACUGUCAACCUGGCUUAGUCUUGGACACCGAUGUCAGUGUCCCAGCUUACCUGGCUUGUUUCCAGUCCUAGCUCCAAUGUCACCAUCUGCCUCUCAAGAUUCUCUUCCAUUUACCCUGGAGAUACACUGAGUGCUCAGAGUUGCCGGCACAUUGCCUGCCACUUAGAAACUCUCAAUAAAGUUUUCUUGAAAUGAGCAGAACCAGGAGAUCAUUAUAUACUUCAACAACAACACUAUAUGAUGAUCAAGUCUGAUGGACGUGGCCCUGUUCAACAAUGAGAUGAAAAAAAUUAGCUCCAAUAGAACAGUAAUGAAUAGAACCAGCUACACCCAGGCAAAGAAUUCUGGGAGAUGACUAAGAACCACUACACAGAAUUCCCAAUCCCUCUAUUUUUGUCCGCCUGCAUUUUGGAUCUCCUUCACAGGCUAAUUGGACACUUUCAAAAUAACUGUUUGGACAUGUAUAGAUAUAUUGUAUUUAACUUAUACUUCAACAUAUUUAACAUGUAUUGGUCAUCCUGCCAUCUGGGGGAAGGAGGGGAAAAAUUGGAACAAAAGGUUUGGCAAUUGUCAAUGCUGCAAAAUUACCCAGGUAUAUAUCUUCUAAAUAAAAAGCUAUAAUAAUUUUUUUAAAAAGUUUUCUUGCCUUGACUUUGUGCGUUCGUUAUUACCAUUCAGGGCACCGUCCACCGACAAGAAAACUUCCUUCCUUAAGCACAUCUCUCAGAGACAUCCCCUUCUCUCCACUCAAACCGUCCCCACCACCUUGCAAUGAGAUGCAAGCUCUCAUUACCUCACUUCCUGGUCCGGUCCAUUUUCCACUCCCUCUCAAAGCAAUCUCUCUAAAGCUCGUAUCUGACCUUAGCAAUCCCCUACACUGUAAAUAACGGCACCUCCCUCCAAGAUCCAAUGGGCAAACCUCUCUUUAGCUCUUAAUGAUCUCCUCAAACUGUCUCCUUCAAGAGUUCCCAUUCAGGAGCUCCUUCACAAAGAACAUCCCAGCUUUCCUUGAUAAGUCCCAGCACACAGAAACAGCCUCCUUUCCCUUUGCCCUGUAUCUAUGCUGAGCAUCCAGCUGCUCCCAUGGUGUCCGCUCCAAUUACAAUCUGAGUCCUCAAAGGCAGGGCCCUCGUCUAUCCCUUCUUUCUCGCCACACUCUCAUCCCCCUGCCUAGCACUUAGAGAAGCCAGAAAUACUUGAUAAAUCCCGUUACCCUGCUCAACCUGCCAUCUGGGGGAGGGGGAAGGAGGCGGAAAAUUGGAACAAAAGGCUUUGCAACGGUCAAUGCUGACAAACUACCCAUGCAUAUAUCUUGCAGAUAAAAAGCUACAUUAAAAAAAAAAGCAAAACUUCUAUCCCAAACGUAUAUUUUAGGGAUUUUUUUAACCUCUAGUAGAACUGGAAUUUGGUCUCCAAUCCAAUAUUCCCAGGGAAAUAUGAAGUCUGAUAAGUAUACUAGUGUGCUAGGAAGACAGAAAUUGACAGAAUAUUGCAAUACAAUCUUGUACCAAAAGCUCCAUGUGAUGAAAAGUUAAGAUAUAUACCCAAGGGAUUGGAAUAAAUGUUUCAACGGUCAAAAAAAAAAGGAUAAAUACUAUUACCCAUCCUCCUCCCAAGCUCUCCAUCAUCUCCAACUCCUUGUUCAGUCUAACUGCACAGAGCACCUCUGACCACAAAUGGUCUUUCCUAGCUUCCCAAUACAUACUGGUUCUCCCUUCGCACACCACCUCUCAGACAUAUCCCAUUCUCCCUUCACUCCGCUGCCUAAUAUUCCUAAAGUUCGCACUAAUCCCACUGACCUUUCCUUCCAGCUCCCAACCCUCAGCCCCUCGGGAACUACACUGGAAAAGCUGUUGUCUCUGCAUUAUUUCCCAGAUUAAAUAUAAAAGCCCUGCUUUGGCUUUUCAUGCCCUGUCCUGCCUGUGUAGUGUACCCAUCCCUUCCAUGGAUGCUUCCAACUACAACCCUGGCGCAGAUGCUUCUCACCACGGCCUUCUCUAUGCGUCAGGGAACUCCCAGGAUGCCAGGCCAUCUUCCACUCGCCUCCCCUAAGGAUCGACCGUCUCAGUCCCCUGUUGUGUAAAUGUUCUGUGCCUCCCUAUUUCAUACACACUGAAAUAAAAAAGUCUUCUGUUUCUCUCUUAAUCUCUUCCCUUUCUAACUUUCCCGUCUUCUUAUACUUUGGCUCAACAGACCCUCUAAUCCAACACACUGGGCUCCUUGCUGCUCCUCCCAAAGGACAAGCCCUCUCUGCUUUAUCCAUUUUCUAAGGCUUUACUCUCAUGAUUGCAUAUGGGCUGUUUGCGUUCCCUUGUCCCUUUCAGCAUCCUGCACGUCCAGGUUUUAUCCCAUUGUCUGGCACAUGGUGCAGACAUCCCUAUUCUUUUUUAUUACAUUUCUUAUCAUAGCUUUUUAUUUACAAGAUAUGCAUGGGUAAUUUUUCAGCACUGACCCUUGCAAAACCUUCCAACUUUUCUCCCUCCUUCCCCUCCCCCCUCCCCUAGAUGACAAAUAGUCCCAUACAUGUUAAAUAUGGUAAAGUAUAAGACAUCCCUAUUCUUGUUGGAGGGGAUGCGGGAAAACUGGGGCUGAUGCACUGUUGGUGGAGUUGUGAACGAAUCCAACCAUUCUGGAGAGCGAUCUGGAAUUAUGCCAAAAAGUUAUCCAACUGUGAUUCAGCAGUGCUACUACUGGGCUUCUAUCCCAAAGAGAAACUAAAGAAGGGAAAGGGAGCUGUAUGUGCCAAAAUGUUUGCAGCAGCCCUCUUUGUAGUGGCCAGAAACUGGAAAAUGAAUGGAUGCCCAUCAACUGGAGAAUGGUUGGGUAAAUUGUGGUAUAUGAAGGUUAUGGAAUAUUAUUGUUCUGUAAGAAAUGACCAGCAGGAGGAUUUCAGAAAGGCCUGGAGAGACUUACAGGGACUGAUGCUGAGGGAAGUGAGCAGGGCCAGGAGAUCGUUAUAUACUUCAACAACAAUACUAGAUGAGGAUGUAUUCUGAUGGAAGGGGAUUUCUUUGACAAAGAGAAGACCUAACUCAGUUUCAAUUGAUCAAGGAUGGACAGAAGCAGCUACACCCAAAGAAAGAACACUGGGAAAUGAAUGUAAACUGUUUGCAUUUUUGUUUUUCUUCCUGGGUUAUUUCUACCUUCUGAAUCCAAUUCUUCCCGUGCAACAAGAGAACUAUUCGGUCCUGCACACAUGUAUUGUAUCUAGGACAUACUAUAACAUAUUUAACAUGUAGAGGACUGCCUGACAUCCAGGGGAGGAGGUAGAGGGAAGGAAGGGAAAAGUCGGAACAGAAGUGAGUGCAAGAGAUAAGGUUGUAAAUAAUUACCCAGGCAUGGGUUCUGGCAAUAAAAGUUAUAAUAAUAAUAAAAAGACAUCCCUAUUCUUGUAGAGUGGCCAUCAUCUUCCUAAGGAUCCAAGCUUUCCUAUUAACCUCAAAGCUGUCCGCUAGUCCCCUCACGUACUCAACUACUACCCCAAGUUGUCCUUUCUACUUUCACAGCAUCUCCUAUUUUUUCCUUCCCGACAGUCUCCUGUUGUCUAUUUUUUCUCUCCACUCCCGCAGUCACUCUCCGAUGCAGCCCAGCAUCCCCUCUGCUUUGGACUCUGGUCAAUUAGCCUUCUCCUUCUCCUUCCCUCUCAAGGCUUUCCCUGAUCUAGUCCAUUCUCUACUAAACUGCUGAAUGUCUGGAUAUUCUUCACCCCGCGCCACUUCCUACUUUUAUAGUCUUCUCCUACUUGCCCUGCACAACGCGCUAUGGAACACCAGCUUCCCUGCCCUUCCUUCCACACAGCUAGACUCAGUGUUUCAACAGAAGGCCCCCAGUUUGAAACUACAAGGCUCCCCCUUCUCAUUCCUACCUCCUGGUCCUUUGAACAUAUUCUUCCCCCUUCAAAAUGUGACCUUCGCAAGAUCAGGAACCAGCCCUGCCUUUCUUUGGAUUCCCAUUGUUUAGCACAUGGCCUGGCCCAGAGGAAGCUCUAACUAAAGGCUGAUUGGCUGGACUGGUUUCAAAAGCUUGAUGAUUUUACCUUCCCAACGUCUCUCUCCCCAAAUGCUUCAUUCACUCAUUCAUUCAUCCAUUCGUUCGUUCAUUUAUGCACACGUGCUCUUCCAUCCGUGCACAGCAGCCCCCUGGCUCGUCUUCCCUGCUGACCAGCCCACCCGGGAGCUCUUUUCCUCUAUUUGCAGGGAUUUCUCCUGGUCCCCUACAGGCUUUGUCAUUUCUCCCUAGACUUACUUGUCCCAUGUGCUCACUGGCUGUCUCCCAGACUGUACCAGAGCUACCUGCGACUUCCACUUAAUGGCUCUGUCUUCUGCAUUCAGGAGUUCACCUCAGUUUGAUUUUACUAUUUCUUCUAUGAUCACAUAUGGGUUUGUUGACUUGCCCUGUCCUUCAGAGGCAACUAGAAUUGCCAAGUUGUCUCUACAGAUGCUACAUGUUCCAGAUCAAUGUUUUACCUCUUUGGGUGAGUGCCCAGACUUCCCUCACUCUGGAACCUCGGUCCUUCUCCCUUGAGACCUGCUCACCUUGGUACAUCACUCUACCAUGCUGGCCCCUUUCAGCCACUGGUGAACUCUUUUGAGGUCCCUAUUUGGGAAAGGGGCCCAGGCUGUGUAACCUCCAUUCACCUUCUGCCUCUAUUUCUGAUUUCCCAGCCUACUAUCUCAACCUCAAACUUUCCCCCCCUUCCCCUUUGACCUUCAGUGGCGGGGGCCUCCUCAUGCUGGAACGUCCAUCGACGCUGGAUCAUCAGUCCACCAUGCUGGUCUCCUUCUGCCUUUUCUGAGAUCCUCCAAAGUUCUCCACUUCAGGGACAGUCCCGGGUCACAUAACGUUGAUUCUACUUCCAGCACCGUUUCUGAACUGGAUGUCGAGCCAAUACUUCAACUGUAGUCUCACCUCUGUACCUCUUCCAGUGGCCGGGGCCUCCUCAUGGUGGGACAUUCAUCAGCUUAGGUGGUCUUCUCACAGGCCUGUUCUACACUGGCCUCCUCCUGCCAUUUCUGAGGUCACCUCUGGGUCUCUCCUUCAGGGAAGGGCCCAAGUCACAUCACCUCGAUGCCAAUUCCAGCAGGGUUUUGAAUUUGCCUCGGAUGCAGUCUUGUCCUUGAACCUUUUCCAGUCACUGGGCCUCCUCGUGAUAGAACAUCCAUGCACUUUGCGGCCUUCUCACCCUAGCUCAUCAGGCCACCAUGGUGGCUUCCUGCUGCUGUUACCGAGGUCCUCCAAAGUUCUCCUUUUCAGGGAUGAGUCUAGAUCAUAAAAGCUUGAUUCCAAUUCCAGCAGGGUUUCUGAAUCUCCAGAUUUCGGUCCUAUGCCUCAGCUGUUGUCUCACCCUUGAACCUCUUCCAGUCACUGGGACUCUCUUGUGCUGGAGUAUCCAUCCACUUUGUGGCCUUCUCACCCUGAAACAUCCCUCCACCGUGGGGGUCUCCUAUUAUUCCUGAGGUCCUCCAAGAGUCUCCAUUCAAAGAUGGGUCCAGGUCACAUCACCUUGAUCCCAAUUCCGGCAGGGUUUCUGAAUCUCCAUAUGUCACUCCAAUGCCCCAGCUGCAGUCUCUUGAAACCCUUCCAUUGCCUGGGAAAUCCUCACCCUGGUAUGCGCCUCUAACUUGCCAGCCUCCUUCUGCCAUUUCCAAGGCCUCCCUUUCAGAGACUGGCCCAGGUGAAGUGAUCUUGCUUCUACUGCCAAGAGUGGAUCUGAAUUUCCAGGCUUCAACAAAAUUCCUCAUCUUUAGUAUCGUCCUCGAACUUCUUCCAAUAAUCGUGACCUCCUCAUGCUAGAACAUCCAUUCACUUUGGUGACUUCUUCACUCCCGAAUGUCCCUGUCCUGAAGGACUCUUCAGCCCGCAACGUCACCGCCCCAAUGGGCUCCUCAGCCCACAAUGUCCUUGCCCCGAUGGACUCCUCAGCCCGCAAAGUCACAGCCCUGAUGGGCUCCUCUGCUCCAAUGGGCUUCUCACCUGGAAUGACCCUGCCCCGAUGGGCUCCUGAGCCAGUAGCGUUGCUGCCCCAAUGGGCUCCUGAGUUCACAACGUCCCUGCCCUGAUGGACUCUUCAGCCCACGUCGCUGCCCCAAUGGGCUCCUCAGCCUUCAACGUUGCUGCCCCGAUGGGCUCCCCUGCCCUGAUGGACUCUUCAGCCCACAAUGUCACUGCCCCGACGGACUCCUCAGCCCACAACAUCACAGCCCUGAUGGGCUCCUCUGCUCCAAUAGGCUUCUCACCUGGAAUGUCCCUGCCCCGAUGGGCUCCUGAGCCUGUAGCGUCGCUGCCACAACAUCCCUGCCCUGAUGGGCUCCUCAGCCCACAACGUCGCUGCCCCAAUGGGCUCCUCAGCCCGCAAUGUUGCUGCCUCGAUGGGCUCCCUGGCCCCAAUGGGCUCCUCAGCCUGCAACAUCGCCGCCCUGAUGGGCUCCUCAGCCCACAACAUCGCUGCCUCAAUGGGAUCCCCAGCCCCGAUGGGCUCCCCGGCCCCCAUUGGCUCCUCAGCCUGCAACAUCGCCACCCCAAUGGGCUCCCUGGCCCCGAUAGGCUCCUCAGCCCACAACAUCACUGCCCCGAUGGGCUCCUCAGCCCACAACGUCGCUGCCCCAAUGGGCUCCUGAGCCCAUAAUGUCGCUGCCCCGAUGGGCUCCUCAGCCUGCAAUGUUGCUGCCCUGAUGGGCUCCCUGGCACCGAUGGGCUCCCCAGCACCGAUGGGCUCCUCAGCCCGCAAUGUUGCUCCCGCAAUGGACUCCUCAGCCCACAAUGUCGCUGCCCCAGUGGGCUCCUCAGCCUGCAAUGUCCCUGCCCCGAUGGGCUCCUCAGCCUGCAAUGUCCCUGCCCCGAUGGGCUCCUCAGCCUGCAAUGUCCCUGCCCUGAUGGGCUCCCUGGCACCGAUGGGCUCCCCGGCACUGAUGGGCUCCUCAGCCCGCAAUGUUGCUCCCGCAAUGGACUCCUCAGCCCACAAUGUCGCUGCCCCGAUGGGCUCCUCAGCCUGCAAUGUCCCUGCCCCGAUGGGCUCCCCGGCCCCAAUGGGCUCCCCGGCCCCAAUGGGCUCCUCAGCCUGCAAUGUUGCUGCCCCGAUGGGCUCCCCGGCCCCAAUGGGCUCCUCAGCCUGCAACAAUGCUGCCCUGAUGGGCUCCCCAGCCCCAAUGGACUCCUCAGCCCACAAUGUUGCUGCCCCAAUGGACUCCUCAGCCUGCAACAAUGCUGCCCUGAUGGGCUCCCCAGCCCCAAUGGACUCUUCAGCCCGCAGUGUUGCUGCCCUGAUGGGCUCCUCAGCCUGCAAUGUCCCUGCCCCGAUGGGCUCCCCGGCCCCGAUGGGCUCCUCAGCCUGCAAUGUCCCUGCCCCGAUGGGCUCCCCGGCCCCGAUGGGCUCCCCGGCCCCAAUGGGCUCCUCAGCCUGCAAUGUUGCUGCCCCGAUGGGUUCCCCGGCCCCGAUGGACUCCUCAGCCUGCAACAAUGCUGCCCUGAUGGGCUCCCCAGCCCCAAUGGACUCCUCAGCCCACAAUGUUGCUGCCCCAAUGGACUCCUCAGCCUGCAACAAUGCUGCCCUGAUGGGCUCCCCAGCCCCAAUGGACUCUUCAGCCCGCAAUGUUGCUGCCCUGAUGGGCUCCUCAGCCUGCAAUGUCCCUGCCCCAAUGGGCUUCUUCUGCCAUUCAUGAGGUCUUCUGGGGAAUCUUCAUUUUCAAGGAUGGGCCCAGAUAAGCACCGAGUUCUGUCUCUCUUGUAACUACUCAGUCUAACUUUACAAAUCCAUCCAUUACCAAAUUUUUUCUUCUUUCUCUUCCCAAUUUGCAUAAAUUUACAUUACACGAGUUCUCCUUCAGAGAGUUCUGAAGAAAUUCCAGUUCCAAGGAAAGGCCUCUGUUUACCUGCCUUGCUCUCCCUUUCCACUCCUACUCCUCACUUCAGGUGCUCUGUGGCCAACCACAAAACCAUCUAAAAAGCCCAUCCAAUGGCAAGGAGAAGAACCAAUGCAUCUGGCACCAGUGCUGCUGGCUGGGGGAUUGGUUUGAGAACUGUAGCACCUAGAGCAGAUUUUGUCCCACGCCGCUCAAGCGCCGGGAGUCCAGCCCUGAGUCUAUGCCAUUUGGCAGAGUUGGGGUGCCUCACGGUCCGUCCCUAUCUGUGUCGGCCACCCACAUUCAUCUUCUCAGGGCAGAAAGGUCUGCCCACGGCUAGCCCAAGCCCCAGCCUAUUCCUCCUCCCGCUCUCUGUUUCCUGUCCCGAGCCCACAAGUGUCCUCAAAUUGUGUGCUAUCCCCUCCCUCAAUGCUUGGGCAGCCGCCUUCCUCUCCGGUUCUCUUCCUCCCUCCCUUCUCCACAUCCACGGCGCGUCACAUAAGCAAGCCGCAGAAGCUUCCACUUACCUGAAGCAAGAACUCUAUGUACGGCGCUUCUUUCAUGACAAAACUCUCAGACACAAUUCAAUCUCUCUCCUCACAUGGAUGCCCCCAGGAAGCAAGAGCCUCCUGCUUGUUCUCCCUACCUCAGAUCACAACCGAUCCUUUUCCCAUCACCUACCAAAGAGAUCUGUCUGAGUUAUUCUAUAAAUAAAAGUGAAUCUGUUAGCCAAAAUCUCAAAUACAAAAGAGUAUAUUAAUGUUCUCUCCAGCCUGGGCCUUCCAACAUCCUUAGACUUUCCGCUACUCUAUGGUCUCUUGGAUCCAGCACGGAUAGCCUCCCUCGGUCUUCCUAUCAAAGGUCAUUCCAUGGCCACAUUAUCCACGAAUUUCCCCAUCCCUGACACAUGGACUGCUCUCUAUCUGGGUCACUGUCCCAGCAUUCCUAGAGCUUGCUGAAAGUCUCCAUGAAAAUAUCACCUGCUGGUAACAGCCUUUCCCUGUCUUCCUCAGAGUAACGCUGUUCCUUCUCAGAUUAUUCCAUUUAUCCUCUACAUAUGUUGACUAUCCAUAGCUGCUUGCGUAUUGUCACGUUUCAAACGCAACGUGAUCUCCUAAAGAGUAAGGACUCUCUCUUGGCCCUUCUUUAUUUCCAUGCUACUUAGCACAUUUCCUUUCACCUGACAAGUACAUUGGGCAGCUAGAGUGCCAGAUCUGAAAUCAAGAAGACUCCUCUUCAUGAGUUCAAAUCUGACCUCAGACACGUCCUAGCUGUGUGACCCUGGGCAAAUCACUUAACCUUAUUUCCCUCAGUUUCCUCAUCUGUAAAAUGAGCUGAAGAAUGAAGUAGCAAACCACUGUACCAUCUUUGCCAAGGAAACCUUAAUGAAGUCAGAAAGAGCCGGACGCAACAAAGUAUUCAACAACAACAAACAAGUACUUUAGGACAGCCAGAAGACGCAGCAGAGAGAUCACCGGAACUAGAGUCAGGAAAACUACUCUUAGCGACUUAAAAUCUGGAAUCAAUCUCAGUUUCUUCAUCUAUAAAAUGAGCUGAAGAAUGAAAGAGCAAACCACUAAGAAAACUUUAAUGAAGUCAGAAAGAACUGAACGCAACUGAAAUCAUUCAACAACAACAAACAAGUACUUUAGGAAAGCCAGAUGAUGCAGCAGAGAGAUCGCCGGAACUAGAGUCAGGAAAAAUAUUCUUCGCAUCUUAAAAUCUGACCUCAGACACUUCCUAGCUGUGUGACCCUGGGCAAGUCACUUAACCCUAUUUGCCUCAGUUUCCUCAUCUGUACAGCAGAAGAAUGAAGUAGCAAACCACUCUAGCAUCUCUGCCAAGAAAACUUUAAUGUUAAGUCAGAAAGAGCUGGACGCAACUCAAACUACUCAACAACAAAAAAUAAGUACUUUAAGAAAGCUAGAUGAUGCAGUGCACAGAGUGCCAGAUCUGGAAUCAAGAAGACUCCUCUUCAUGAGUUCAAAUCUGACCUCAGACACGUCCUAGCUGUAUGACCCUGGACAAAUCACUUAACCCUAUUUCCCUCAGUUUCCUCAUCUGUAAAAUGAGACGAAGAAUGAAAUAGCAAACUACUCUAGCAUCUUUGCCAAGAAAACCUUGAUGAAGACAGAGUGGGAUGCAACUGAAACUACUCAAGAACAACAAACAAGUACUUUAGGAAAGUAGAUGAUGCAGUGGAUAGAGCGCCAGAUCUGGAAUCAAGAAGACUCCUCUUCAUGACUUCAAAACUGACCUCAGAUACUUCCUAGCUGUGUGACCCUGGGCAAGUUACUUAAUCCUAUUUGCUUCAGUUUCCUCACCUGUAAAAUGAGCUAAAGAAUGAAAUAUGAAGUCAGAAAGAGCUGGACGCAACUCAAACUACUCAAAAACAAAAAUACAAGUACUUUAGGAAAGCUAGAUGAUGCAGUGCACAGAGUGCCAGAUGUGGAAUCAAGAAGACUCCUCUUCAUGAGUUCAAAUCUGACCUCAGACACUUCCGAGCUGUAUGACCCUGGGCAAGUCACUUAGUCCUAUUUGCCUCAGUUUCCUCAUCUAUAAAAUGAGCUGAAGAAUGAAAAAGCAACCUACUCUACCAAAAGAGCCGGACGCAACUGAAAGUACUCAACAAUAACACAAAAGUACUUUAGGAUAGCCAGAAGACGCAGCAGAGAGAUCGCCGGAACUAGUCAGGAAAAGUACUCUUCAUGACUUAAAAUCUACAAUCAAUCUCAGUUUCCUCAUCUGUAAAAUGAGCUAAAAAAUUAACCAGCAAACCACUAAGAAAACUUUAAUGAAGUCAGAAAGAGGUGGACACGACAAACUAUUCAAUAACAACAAACAAGUACUUUAGGAAAGCCAGAUGACGCAGCAGAGAGAGAUUGCCAGAACUAGAGUCAGGAAAAAAUACUCUUCGCAUCUUAAAAUCUGACCUCAGACACUUCCUAGCUGUGUGACCCUGGGCAAGUCAUUUAACCCUAUUUGCCUCAGUUUCCUCAUCUGUACAGCAGAAGAAUGAAGUAGCAAACCACUCUAGCAUCUUUGCCAAGAAAACCUUAAUGUUAAGUCAGAAAGAGCUGAAUGCAACUGAAACUACUCAACAACAGAAAAUAAGUACUUUGGGAAAGCUAGAUGAUGCAGUGCACAGAGUGUCAGAUCUGGAAUCAAGAAGACUCCUCUUCAUGAGUUCAAAUCUGACCUCAGACACUUCCUAGCUGUAUGACCCUGGACAAAUCACUUAACCCUAUUUCCCUCAGCUUCCUCAUCUGUAAAAUGAACUAAAGAAUGAAAUAGCAAACUACUCUAGCAUCUUUGCCAAGAAAACCUUAAUGAAGUCUGAAAGAGCUGGACGCAACUGAAACUACUCAACAACAACAAAAAAGUACUUUAGGAAAGCCAAAUGACGCAGCAGAGAGAUCAUCGGAACUAGAGUCAGGAAAACUAUUCUUCUCGACUUAAAAUCUGGAAUCAAUCUCAGUUUCCUCUUUUGUAAAAUGAGCUGAAGAAUGAAACAGCAAACCACUAAGAAAACCUUAAUGAAGUCAGAAAAAGCUGGACACAACUGAAACUAUUCAACAACAACAAACAAGUACUUGAGGACAGCCAGAAGACGCAGCAGAGAUCGCCGGAACUAGUCAGGAAAACUACUCUUCGCAACUUAAAAUCUGGAAUCAAUCUCAGUUUGUUAAUCUGUAAAACGAGCUGAAGAAUGAAACAGCAAACCACUAAGAAAACUAAUGAAAGAGCUGGACGCAACAAACUAUUCAACAACAACCAACAAGUACUUGAGGACAGCCAAAUGACGCAGCAGAGAUCGCCGGAACUAGUCAGGAAAACUACUCUUCGCAACUUAAAAUCUGACGUCAGACACUUCCCAGCUGUGUGACCAUGGGCAAACCGAUCAACCCUCUUUGCCUCAAUUGCUCCAUCCAUAAAAUGAUCUGAAGAAGGAACUGGGCAACUCACUCCUGGAUCAUUGCUAAGAAAACUCCAAAUGGGGUCACUGAGAAUCAGACAUGUUGGAAAAACGAAUGGACCUCAUCAAAAUAAGUACUUAUUGAAUCAAUAGUUGUUGUUUUAAUUGUUGAUUUCCCUGUUAUUCUCUGAGGCAACUUGGUCAACCAUGAGAUCAGUGUUCAUAUCAUUUGAAGAUAAAAUAUCUAGCUACCUCCUAUAGCAUCUACUGUCACAUUUUAUCCUUUCUGCCUUCCAAUACAUCCUAUUUCUUCCUUGAGACUCUCUCGCACUCACAUCCACUUCUUUUCACUCACACAGACACCAGCCAGGUACAAGCCCCCCCCCCCUCUAUUCCAGACAGCAGCAGAGGCCUUCUGCUUUUAUUAUUCCAACUCAAAAUCUCUCCCCACUCCAAUCCUUUACCUACUAAGUUCUUAUUAAUAAAUAUUCCUUGACUCAUCCUGUUGAUUGCCCUACUCUUCCCUGGGGCCCCUUCAUCCUUCCAGAUAACCCAAGAGACAAGUCCAGACUAGCUGCACAUCUUUGCUCAGUUUAACUCUCUAAUAUAGCACUGACUGCUACAUUUUAUCCUAUCUUCCUAAUUUAUCUCAUUUCUUCCUUGACCACAUCCCUCGGACCCAUUCACUUCUCUCUAUUCACUGAGACAUUAUAUCCCUGCAUAAUUCACCAUCUCAUCCCUAGACAAGAACUACAAUGUUUUAAUGAUUUUCCCUCCCUCAAAUAACUCCUCAUUCCAGUCCAUUUUCCAUCAUUUGACAAAGGCUUCUUCCUGAAGCUCACGUCUGACAACUUACCCUAAACUCACCCAUGGCUCCCUAGUACCUACAAAAUACAAAAACUUCCUUUUGACUAUUAACGAUCUCUCCAAUCUUACCUUCCCAAUAUUAGUUAUUAUACUAUGCUUUCUGUGCUCCAACAAGGAUAGCCUUCCUUAGUGUUCUUCCUAAUGGACAAUCUAUCUCCAGAUUUUCCACUUUCCAUGACUUUCCCUAUAACCUCGUCUUGGCCUGCUCUGUCUGGCCCAGUCCCAGCUUUCUUCCCUUGCUUCAAAUCUCAGAUAAAACAUCACAAUCUAGAAGCAGCUUUACCCUAUCCUCAAGACCAAUGUCUUUCCCUUUUAGAUUACCUUCCACUUACUCUAUAUAUGUGAUAACAGAGUCUGGUUGCUUAGUGUUCCCCUCCAAAUACUUUGUGGGACAUCAAGUGUUGGGACUCUUUUGGCCCUUCUUUAUUCCACACUACUUAGUACAUUUCAUCUCAUCUAAUAAGUAUUUAUUGAAAAAUUGAUUUGACUUGUUUUCCUGUUAUUCUGAGAGACAACAUCACCUUCCUAGUCAUCAUCAGGACAGAUUACCUAUCACUGGAGAGCUUUAUUCGAUCUGACUUUACAUAUAGCAUCUGUUGCCACAAUUUAUCCUUUCUAUUUUCCCAAUGGAUCUUAUUUCUUCCUUAAUCAUCUCUCUCAGAUACCUCCCCUUCUCUUCCCAAGAUCAGGAACCAGCCCUGCCUUUCUUUGUAUUCCCAUUGCUUAGCACACGGCCUGGCCCAGAGGAAGCUCUAACUAAAGACUGGUUGGCUGGACUGGUUUCUUUCCCCAAGGCUCCAAAAGCUUGAUUUUACCUUCCCACCAUCUCUCUCCCCAAAUGCUUCAUUCACUCAUUCAUCCAUUCGUUCGUUCAUUUACGCACACGUGCUCUUCCAUCCGUGCACGGCAGCCCCCGGCUCGUCUUCCCUGCUGACCAGCCCACCCGGGAGCUCUUUUCCUCUAUUUGCAGGGAUUUCUCCUGGUCCCCUGCAGGCUUUGUCAUUUCUCCCUAGACUUGUCCCAUAUGCUCACUGGCUGUCUCCCAGACUGUACCAGAGCUACCUGCGACUUCCACUUAAUGGCUCUGUCUUCUGCAUUCAGGAGUUCACCUCAGUUUGAUUUUACUAUUUCUUCUAUGAUCACAUAUGGGUUUGUUGACUUGCCCUGUCCUUCAGAGGCAACUAGAAUUGCCAAGUUGUCUCUACAGAUGCUACAUAUUCCAGAUCAAUGUUUUACCUCUUUGGGUGAGCCUGGACUUCCCUCACUCUGGAACAUCAGUCCUUCUCCCUUGAGACCUGCUAACCUUGGUACAUCACUCUACCAUGCUGGCCCCUUUCAGCCAUUGGUGAACUCUUUUGAGGUCCCUAUUUGGGAAAGGGGCCCGGGCUGUGUAACCUCUAUUCACCUUCUGCCUCUAUUUCUGACUUCCCAGCUUACUAUCUCACCCUCAAACUUUCCCCUUCCCCUUUGACCUUCAAUGGCGGGGGCCUCCUCAUGCUGGAACGUCCAUCGACGCUGGAUCAUCAGUCCACCAUGCUGGUCUCCUUCUGCCUUUUCUGAGAUCCUCCAAAAUUCUCCACUUCAGGGACGGUCCCGGGUCACAUAACGUUGAUUCUACUUCCAGCACCGUUUCUGAACUGGAUGUCGGUCUAAUACCUCAGCUGUAGUCUCAGCCAUGAACCUUUUUCAGUGCAUAAGGAUUCUCCAUGCUGGAACAUCCACCCUCUCUGGUAGCCUUCUCAUCCUGGAACAUCAUUCCAUCAUGCUAGCCGCCUUCUGCCACUUCUGUGAUUCUCCAGGUCUCCAUUUCAAGCAUGGGCCCAGCUCCCAUCACCUUGAUUCCAAUUCCUGCACUGUUCCUGAAUUUCCAGACAUCGAUCCAAUGCCUCAGCCACAGUCUCACCCUUGAUCCUCUUCCAACUGUCGGGAUCCCCUCAUGUUGGUUCAUCCAUCCAAUAUGUGGUGUUCUCACCCUGGAACGUCACUCCAUUGUGCUGUCCUCCUGCUUCAAAGUUCUCCAUUUUAGGAUGGGCUAGCUUCCAUCACCUUGAUUCCAAUUCUGGCAGGUUUCUGAAUUUCCAGAUAUCAAUCCAAUGCCUCCACUUUAGUCUCAUCCAAGAACCUUUUUCAGUAUAUCAGGAUUCUACACACUGGAACAUCCGUCAACUUCAGUGGCCUUCUCUCACUGUGGAACAUCACUCUACCGUGCUAGCCUCUUUCUGCCACUUCUAUGGUCCUCCAGAGGUCUCUAUUUAAAGUAUGGGCCCAGUUCCCAUCACCUUGAUUCCAAUUCCAGCAGGGUUUCUGAAUUUCCAGACGUCGAUCCAAUGCCUCAGCUGUAGUCCCACCCUUGAUCCUCUUCCAAGUGUUGGGAUCUCCUCCAUGCUGGAUCAUCCAUCCACCAGGCUGACCUUCUUUUGCCAUUUCUGAGGUCCUCCAGAGGUCUCCAUUUCAAGUAUGGGCCCAGCUCCUAUCACCUCGAUUCCAAUUCCAGCAGGGUUUCUGAAUUUCCAGACGUCGAUCCAAUGCCUCAGCUGUAGUCCCACCCUUGAUCCUCUUCCAGUUGUUGGGAUCUCCUCGUGCUGGAUCAUCCAUCCACCAGGCUGGCCUCCUUUUGCCAUUUCUGAGGUCCUCCAGAGGUCUCCAUUUGAAGCACGUGCCAAGUCCUAUUACCUUGAUUCCGAUUUCCAGAUGUCAGUCCAACGCCUCAGCUGUAGUCUCACCCAUGAACCAUUUUCAGUAUGUCAGGAUUCUACAUGUUGGAACAUCCCUCCACUUCAGUGGCCUUCUCACUUUGGAACAUUACUUCAUCAUGCUAGCCUUCUUCUGCCACUUCUGUGAUCCUCCAGGUCUCCAUUUCAAGCAUGGGCCCAGCUCCCAUCAUCUUGAUUCCAAUUCCAGCACUGAUCCUCAAUUUCUAGACGUCAACCCAAUACUUUAGCUCUGUGUCCUCUCAACCUUGAUCCUCUUCCAGUUGUUGGGAUCUCCUCAUGCUGGAUCAUCCAUCCAGCAGGCUGGCCUCCUUUUGUGAUUUCUGAGGUCCUCCGGGGGUCUCCAUUUCAAGCAUGGGCCAGAUCCCAUCACCUCGAUACUGAACUUCCAGAUGUGAAUUCAUUGCCUCAGCUUCCUUCUGACACUCUUGAGAUCUUCCAGGGAUUUCCAUGUUAGGCAUAGAUCCAGAUCUCAUUAUGGAAUAUAAUUACUACACUGUAAUCUUUUUAUCUUCCCAAUAAAAGUUCUCACUUUAGAUAAAUUUGCAUUAUACAAAUAAAAACAUAAAUUUGCAUUAUACAAAUUACCUAAAGAAUUCUGAAGAAAUCUGCACUCCAAAAAACUGGCCUUGUUAACUCUCCUGGACAACACUAUACUCAAGUAAACACUGUGAGAGAUCCUGAGGUCAACCACGUCAUCCCAGGCCAUCAUUGGCCAGGUGGAACACCCUGAACUUCAAUGACUCUGGAAGAAAGAAUGAGGCUGAUAACUAUGCAAUUCUGGGACAUUUAAAUCCAAUUCACAACCAAGGAAAGACCUCACCCUGGGGUGUUAUUGGUCCUCUUCCAAAAGGAAGGUCCAACAACAGUACUGGGCUCUUUCUCUGCUCCCACCCCUUGUCUCGGAACGCAAUAGCCUCCUAAUGUCAACAAGAACCAAAGAAAAAUUAUCUCCAAAUAAGAGCAAAAGAACGAAUGCAAAAAGAGACCACAACCUCCACUUUGCUUGAGACAUCCACUGAGAAAGGACAAUUUUGCCAGCCACCCACAGAUACCUGCACAACUGGUCCCUCUUCUCAGGGACUGCACAUCUGUCCCCCAAUUCCCAAGUGUCAUCGGCGCCACCCACUUCUGUCCAUACCACGUCUGACCCCCCUGUGUUUCUGCCGUGCCAUGUUCUUCCUCCCCAUUUUGGCCGAGCCUCCACACAUCCUGCCUCCCUCCUCCCUUCCCCACAUCACCAGACAAAUUCACAGAGACUCUAUGCUAGUACGAGCCCUCGUUAUCUCUCAUCUGGACAAUGCCAACAGCCUUCUGCUUGUUUUUCCUGCCUCAAAUCACUCUCCACUAAAUCUUUUCUCCAUUCUCCCACCAAAGGAAUAUUCCUAAUGUCACAUCUGACCACAUUGCUCUAUAAAUGCAAAUGGCUCCCUAAUUAAUCUCUCUUUUCCAAUAUAAAACAUCCAUUGUCUAUAAUGUUCUCUCCAACUUCUCCUCUACUUUAUAUUUGCAACACUCUUAGACCUUCAUUACUUCCUGUUUUCUCUGAUCCCCCAACAUUAGCCUUGCUCCCAAAGGACAUCCCAUCGGCGUACUCUACAUCUUCCAUGGCCUUCUCAUCACCUUGCCUUGGACUGUUCUUUUAUGAGUCACCUUUCUGGCUUUCCUGCCUCUCACCAAGUCUCAGUUAAAAUAUCACCUUCUGAAAGCAGCCUGAUCCCUUUCUUCGCUCCGACCCCUUUAAACAACCAAGUGUCUAGAGUUGUUAAAUGGCAACCUCCAAUUACAAUACGAGCAGCUCAAAGCGGGGAUUGUAUUGGCCCCUUUUCUCCUAGAACACUGCCUGAGGCCUAAAAAAUAUUUCCUAACUAAACAUUGGUUGAUUUGACUUAUUGAUUUCACUGACACAACAUCAUCCUCCCAAUGAAUCUAGAUGACAACUUCCCUAACUUUUGCAACUGUUCACUCAAUCUAGGGCAGCUAGGUGAUGCAGUGGACAGAGUACCUAGUCUUCUAAGUUCAAAUACAGCCUCACACCCUUACUAGCUAUAUGACCAUAGGCAACUCAUUUAACCACGUGCCUCAGUUUCUUCAUCUGUAAAACGAGAUGGAGGAAGAAAUGCCAAAUCCCACAAGCAUUUUUACCGAGAAAACCCCAAAAGAGGUCAGAUAGAUGAGACAGAAAUGACAAAACAACAAAAUGUUGUAUAUUCAUCUUGAGCAAGUUGAUGGCGCAGUGGAUUGAGUGCCAGAUCUGGAAUCAAGAAGACUACUCUUCAUGAGUUCAAAUCUGGCCUCAGUCACUUCCUAGCUGUGUGACCCUGGGCAAGUCACUUAGCCCUAUUUGCCUCAGUUUCUUCAUCUACAAAACAAGAUGGAGGAAGAAAUGCCAAAUCUGACAAGCGUCUUUGUUCCCCCCCCCAAAAAAAACCCCAAAAGGGGUUAGAUAGAUGAUAUAGAAAUGAAGGAACAACAAAAUGUUGCAUAUUCAUUUUGGACAAGUUGAUGGCACAGUGGAUUGAGUGCCAGAUCUGGAAUCAAGAAGACUACUCUUCAUGAGUUCAAAUCUGGCCUCAAUCACUUCCUACUUGUGUGACCCUAGGCAAAUCACUUAACCAUGUAUGCCUCAGUUUCCUCAUCUGAAAAACAAGAUGGAGGAAGAAAUGCCAAACCCCUCGGGCAUCUUUGCCAAGAAAACCCAAAAGGAGCCAGGAAUAACCGGACGCAAGUGAAACGACGGAACCACAAUAACAAUAAAGUGUUCUAGAUGCUUUCAGAGCAGAUUGGUGGUGCAGCAGAUAGAGCGAUGGGCUCGGAAUUAGGAAGACAACUGUGUAUGAGUUCAGAUGCAGUCAUGGUCACUUCCUAGCUAUGUGAUCCAGGGCAAGUCACUUCAUCCAAUUUACCUCAGUUUCCUCAUCUGUAAAAUGAGCUAGAGAAGGAAAUGGCCAACCACUCCAGGAUUCUUGCCAAGAAAAUGUCAAAUGGGCUCACAAAAAGUCAGAUGACCAAAAUGACGACACAACAACAAUUUGGUCUAAGUGUACACAUUUUGUUGCAUUUUAUCCUUUCUAUCUCCCCAAAAUAUUCUCAUUCUUUCUUGAACGCAUCUCCCAGACUCAUCUACUUUCUCUUCAUUCACAUAGACACCACCCAGAUCCAAGCCCUCACUACCUCUCUUUUGGAAAAAUAGCACUAGCCUUCUACUUCUCCCUACCUCCAAUCACUUCCCACUCUUAUUCUUUUUUUCCCAUUCAUCUGGCAAAGCAAUCUAGCUACCUAACUCUCAGGAAGGACCGUGUUACUCUACAAAUACAAGCACCACGCUACUACUUAUAAAAUUCGAUGCAAAAUGCUCUUACAAUGAAUGCUCUCUGGUCCCUUUCCUCAUCUUACCAUCCCAAUAUUCCUAACCCUUACACUGCUUCAUGGUCUCUCUAAGAAAUCUAGCCUCCCUUAGUGUUCCACUAUCCUAUCAGAUACUAUCUUUCCCAUGGAUUUUCUGUCAGCUAGUCUUUCUUGAUCACUUUCCUGGAUUUCUAGGCUUAAUUCAACUCUCAGCUAAAACAUCACCUUCAAGAAGCAGCUCCCCCACUGUAUCCCCUCCAAUUCUAAAGCCAUUUCCUCUCAUCUUAUUAUGGUAUAUGGAAUGUCCACAGUUGUUCGCAUCUCGUUUCCUCCUAUUACAAUAUUAGUUCCUCAAGGUUCAGAUUCUUUUGGCCAUUUUUUGUUUCCAUACUAAAUAGCGCACUGCCCGGGACCUAGAAUUUCUUGAUUGCGUUGUUAGUAUCUGAGGCAUCUUUUUUCCUCCUGAUAAACUUAGGAGCUAACUUCUAGAACAUUUGCAACUGUUUUCUCAGUCUAUUCACAUAGCAAGAAUAAAAUGUGGCAAGAUACCAUUUUUCCCAGUUGGAUCUCAUUUCUUCCUUAAGCACAUCUCUCAGAGACAUCCCCUUCUCUCCACUCAAGCAGACCCCAGCCAGAUACAAGCCCUCAUUACCUCACUUCCUGAACAGCAGCAAAGGCCUUCUGCUUCUUUGCUCUCCCUCACCUCACGUCCUGGCCCAGUCCAUUUUCCAUUCCCUACCAAAGCAAUCUGUCUAAAGCUUGUAUCUGACCUCAGUAGUCCCCUAUGCUGUAAAUAACGGCACCUCCCUGCAAGAUCCAAUAGACAAACCUCUUUAACUAUGAAUGUCACCACGGCUUUUCUGUCUUUUUUUCAGUCUGCUGACAACUUACACUGACUUACGGAGUCUUUGGACAAACCACAUUGCCCUGCUUGCUUCUCUUCCCAACAGUCGCUGCUUCUCCACUUGGUACAUAUGUCUUUGGUCCUGAUCUAAUCCUGGUCUGGUCUCUCUCUCCCAUGUCUGUGUCCUGACUUGCGACAAACCACAACUAAGACCAACAUCUGGAAACAGCUUCCUUUUACUCCCCUAUCCUGGUGCCUUUCCCUCUCACAUAACUUGUCAUCUAUCCUGGAGAUGUGCUGUCUGAAGGGCUUGCUUGGUGUCUACCUCUAAUGACAAAGUAAGUUCUUCUCAUCUUCCCUUCUGUUAUUAUCUCCCUUAUUUGUUUAUAGGUUUGUGCUCAGAGUAAAUUUUCUUCCUCCUGAGAUCUUUACUAACUUCAGGCUCUUUCCCCUCUUCUAUAGUCUCUGAUGCAGUUUCCCAAGGUGCUGGACUUUAGAGCCAUCUCAGCCUUCCCCUACCCUGGGAAAUUAAAUCUUCAGCCUCAGUUUCCUGCAUCACCUGGAAGCCAAUCUCCUUAACUUCAGGCCUGGUACAGCCCUACACAUGUGCUAGUGUUCAUUUCUGACUUUCCCCAAGUUACCUAGCUAAGCCCUGCAAAAGGAGCUGGCACUAUUAAGCUACCAAGCCUAAGGAGAACAAACUUCUCACUUUCCUCCAAGACACAAAAUAGAACUAGGGGUACGGCUGGCCCUGCCAAAGCUUGGUGAAGGAGAAGGGACUAAAUGGAUAAGGUGGAGAUUAAGAAGUAUUAUUAUUCUUGACUUUGCCAUUCUCAGCAAUACAAUGAUCCAUGACUACUCUGAAGGAUUUAUGAUGAAAAAUCCUAUUCAUACCCAGAAAGGGAUCGGAUUGUGUCUGAAUACAGAUUGAAGAAUUCUCUCUUUUGUUUAAACUUCAUUUUUCUUGAGGGCUUUUAUUUUCAUUAGAUUUUUUUAUUAAUCUAAUUAAUCUAAAAUUAAAUAUUCAUGAAUUCAUUAUAUUUCAUUAGAAUUUUUCUAGUGAAAAAUUUUUCUUUCACAACAUGACUUCUACAGAAAUGUUUUACCUAACUUCAUAUAUGGUUUCUUUACUGUAGAUAGGGGCAAGGGAGAGAAAGAACCUAGAACUCAGAAAUUUUAAAACAAAUGUAAAAAAAAUUGUUUUAAAUGUAAUUGGGGAAAAAUAUUAAGGAAACAAAAUACAGAAUUAGCAUCCUCCUCUGCUAGCUCAUUAUGCUUGCUGAAUCUUCAAGGUUGUUGCUGUCUUAGAUUAAGGAGAUGGCUGAAAUUGCUCAAUUGAUCAGGUAUAAUUUCUCUUUAGAGAUUUGGAAAGUCAUGAGACACAGAGUUAGAAUAAUAUAUUCUGAAAUAAGUGUUCCCAGUUCCUCUGAAGCCUAGUACCUUCCUUCUGAGAUUACAACUCCCAUUUGCCCAGCAUACAUGUUAUAUGUACACAGGUGUUCACAUGCUAUUGUCCCCAAUAAUUCUAUAUGAACACAACUAGAAGACAGGGACAGUUUUUGCUUUUCUUUGUAUUCCCAGCCCUUAGCACAUUAACUGGCAUACAGUAGGCUCUAAAGAAAAUGCUUCUUGAACCUUUAAAGACUUGAUAACUCUGAUAAACACAAUAACCAGCUACACUUACAGAGGACUCAUGAUGAUACUCCCUCCUGCCUGCCUACCAGGAGACCUUUGAUGGACUUGGAGUACAGGUAGAGAAAAAACAUUGUGGGCAUGCCCAAUACAGGAAAUGGGUUUUGUGUGAUUAUUUGAAACAGAAGUUUUGUUUUUCUUGCUCUCCCAAGGGGAGGGCAGAAAGGGAAAGAAGAAAAGGCAGAUUUUUGUUGGAAAAUAAAAUAAAAUUUAAUUUCAGGAAAAGUAUGUUGAUUUGACUUAUCAAAUCCCUCAAUUCUCAUACCACAAGUCUAAUCUGUUGUCAGUUCUCAUUUCUACCUUCACAACCUCUCUCAUUCAUAUGUGUGCAUAUAUGAAUAGACCUAUACAUUUGAACACAUAUAUAUGUAAAUAUGCACAUAUAUCUCCACUCACAUAGCCACCACACUGGUGAAAUUCUGCAUCAUCUCUCCCUUGCACUAUUUUAAUUGUCUUCUACUCAGACUCUACUUUAAGCACUUAUUAAACAGAAAAACAAUAAUUUGUGAGUAUUCCAAUGGGCCCCCUGUACUUCUAGACAAAUCUAACAAGAGUUAAGGAUAUGAACAUCAUAUUCAAACAUUUAGAUAUGAUGGGCAUUUAAUGAUUACUGAAUAGAAUCACGAGAAGUACACAUAUUUUGGUCCUUUCCCUGGCACCUUACCCAAAAAAAUCCCCAUAUGCUAAACAGCAGGGAGCCCAGAAAUAAGGCAGAAAAGCAGUAGCAUUAAAGACUUCUUUUACAGAUCACAAUGUAAACAAUUACAAUCAAUAAAGGAAAUUUCAAUAAAAGAAUUUACAGUUAAAUUGAGACUAAAUAAUGGCAUUCUAAAGAAGGUUCGAAUAUAAGAAUAAAUCACAGACAUAGUAUAUACGUAACCUUAUCAACAAAAGGAAAACCCUGUCAUAACACACUCAAACUUCUAAGGGGCAGUCAAAGCCAUUCUUUCCAUCUCUCAGAAUAUUCAUCAACAAGAGAGAGAAAGAGGGGAAUAAUUCAUUGAGCACAUGACCAUAAAACAAAAACAUCAAGUUAUAAACACAAAUUUCUAAAUUCAUCCUGAAAAAUCAAAGCAAAAAAACCUCAUUUUGCAAGAUUACUUAUAUAUACAAACCAUUAUUAGGUAAUUGGGUCAAAAAAGAGGAAAAACAAAUUAUCAAUAUAGAAAAUCAAAAAACAUUCACAGUAGAUAAAAAAAAGACUGUCAGAAACUAUUAUACUCAAUUAAUAAAUGCCAACAAAACUGAAUGGAUAAUUCAAAAAAAUGUAAAGCCCCUACAUUACGAGAAUAAGAACUAGCAAAUUUAACUUAACCACAGAAAAUAGUAUAUAAACUAUAAACAAUCAAUCCAAGAUGGCCUCAUAAUUUAAUCAUAUCAAACAUUCAAAAUAACAGUCAACUCCCUUAUUAAAUGAUUUUUGUAAAAAUCAAGAUAUAAGGCUCUUUGCCAUAAUCCCAUGAGACAAAUAUGAUCUCAACACCCAAAGAAAAGAAAAAGCAAAUUAAAGGCCAAUAUCAUUAAUAAACAUCGAGGCAAAAAAUACUGUAUAAAAUCUUAACAAAGAGACUACCACAAGAUAUUAAAAUUAUCAUUAACAAUGACCACAUUGAAUUUAUACCAGGAACGUAGGAAGGUUCAGUAUGAGGCAAAGUACAACAUAAAAGACAAUGUAAAUAACAAAAACAUUUUAAAAUCACACAAUUCUAUCAGAAGAUAGAGAAAGCCUUUGACAAAAUACAGAUCGCUAUUUAGUUAACACUAAAAACCAUAGAUAUAAAUGAAACUUUUACACAUAUUACCGCUAUCAAAAAUGAAGAACUAGCAUUAUUUAGAAGGAAGAAAUACUAGUAAUCUUUGCAGUAAGACUGGGUCAUGGAUGUCAGUUAUCAAUGAUAAAAUUUCUUAUACCUCUAGAAAUUAUAGCUAUAGCAAUAAGACAAGAAAAGGAAAUUGAAGGUAUAUGCAUAAACAAAGAAGCAAAAUUACCUAUUUGCAGAUGACAUGAUGGCUUACUUAAUCAGCAUCAAAGUAGAAUAUGAAAUGAAUCCACAAAAAUCAUCCACCUUUUGUAUAUUACUAACAGUUAAACCUAGCAAGACAUAGAAAAAGAAAUGCCACUUAAAAUAAUUAUAAAAUGUAUUAAAUAUCUUGGAGUUAACUUAUCAAGCCGGAGUUCAUAGGUUGCAUAAAUGUAGAUACCAAACACUCUUUCCAAAAAAUAAAAGCUUAAAUCAUUGGAGACACGGUCAUUAUUCAUGGUUGGGCUAUACCAAUGUAAAAUGAUACUAUCUAAACUUAGAGAUUUAGUGCCAUACUAAUCAAAGCACCAAGGAGUUAGUUCCUUUAUAGGACAAGAUAAAAUGAUAAUAAAGUUCAUGUAAAAGAGCUAAAGUCAAGAAUCUUAAGGAAAAUAAUGAUCUGUGAAUUGGUUUGACUUCUGAACUUUUACGCUAAAAAGAACUCACUCAACUGCACAUAUACUUUAAAAAUAUACCAAUAAGAAAAUCAAAAGGACAGAUCCCAUAUAUACCAAAAUAGCGAUAGCAGAACUUUUGGUAGUAGCUGAGACUUGGAAUUAGAACUUGGAAUUCAAAUUCAAACCUGAAAAGAGCACAGUGCAUGAAAGUAAUAGAAUAUUAUUAUAUGGUAAGAAAUGACAAAUAUGAAAAAUUCAGAGAAACUUGGGAAGUCUUAUAUCAACCGAUGAAGAGCAAAGGAAGCAGGACCAAUAGAACACAUACAAAAUGAUAGUAAUGUUGGCAUUCAGGUGGUCCGGGCUAAAGUGCUAGGCCUGAAUUAGAAAGACUAGUUGUAUAGCCUUAGACAAUUCAUUUAAUCACUGUCUGCCUCAACUUGCUCUUCUGUAAAACAGGGGUCAUGAUAGCAUACUACCCCCCUUGCUGAAAGGAUCAAAGGAUGCAAUAUUUGUAAAGCUCUUUGCAAACUUUAAAGCACAAUCUAAAUGCUAGCAAUGUGAAGGAAAACAACACCAAAAGACAUCAAUGCAGUGACCAAUCACAACUUCAGAUGAGUAAUGGUGAAACAUGCUUGCACUCCCUUGGCAGAAAGACACUGGACCAGGGGUUCAGGAUGAAGUAUACAUCCUCAGACACGGCCAAUAUAUUGCUCUACUUAGCUUUAACUGUACCUCUUUAUGACAAGGGAGGGUUUUCAUGAGGUGAGAGGGUCACUGAAAAGUGAUUGGCAGCUAGAUGAUACAAUGGAUAAAGCACUGCUGGAGUGAGAAAGACCCAAGUUCAAAUUUGGCCUUCUUAGCUGUGUGAUCACCAACAAGUCACUUAGCACAGUGUUAACCACAUAGUAAGCACUUGAUAAAUGCUAAUUAUAAUAAUUAUUAUCAUUAUAAAGUGGCAGUUAUAUUCUUAAUAAGCAUCAAUAUAACUAUUUUAAAAGUUUUUAAUAACCUUGAACUCCUCCCUGAAACAAAGGCCCAACUUUUUAAUAACAGUUUUCUACCUUCUUUUAACAUGGCUGUAAGUCAUGGAACAACACUAAAGUCUCUUAAGAUUUGAAAAUGGGAAGGCUGGAAAGCAAUUUGCCAGAAACUGGUGUAGAACAACACCCCACACAAUAAAUCAAGAUAAAAUCCAAAUGGGUACAUGAUUUAGAAAUAAAGGUAAUAUCAUAAGCAAAUCAUGGGAGCAAAGGAAAAAUUACAUGAUUUAUACAUAAGAGCAGAGUUUAUGAAAAACCAAGGAUCAUAGGCGGUAAAAUAGAUAAUUUUGAUAACAUGAAAUGAAAAAGCUUUUCCACAAACAAAAUCAAUGCAGCCAAAAUUAGAAGGAAAGCAGAAAACUGGGGUGGGGGGGAUUUUGUAGCAAAAAAAAAAAAUCAGAGACCUGAGGCAAAUUUAUAAAAAUAACAUUCCCAAAUUGUAAAAUUAUAUAUCUAUAAAAACAUUACCCAAUUGACAAAUGGUCAAAGGAUAUAAACAGGCAGUUUUCAAAAGAAAUGAAAACUAUCAAAAAUCAAAUGAAAACAAUGCUCUAAAUCACUACUAAUCAGAGAAAUGCAAAUUGAAAAAACUUUGAACUUUUUGUCUAGCAUCUUAGCUAGUGGCGCCAUAGGUUACCUGCAGUUCUACUAGAGCCACCCUUUCAAAUUCAGCCAGCUUUCUCAAGCAUGACAUUUCUGUUUCCAACAGCAAGGCCUGAUCCAUGGGUAAAGCUUGAACUUAUACUGCCAGUUCUUCUACCAGCAUGCUAAGGGCAUCGGUUACAUCAAUUUGGAUUAAAUUAUCUUUAUGAACUUGGCUUUGGUGAUUAGUCAUCAUUUUACUGGACUCUAAACAACUAUUUGACAAGCCUACCUAAAAACGGACUGUUGUGCAUACUAUGCUAAUUUGUUUUAAAAAAUGUUAAAGGUCACCCUGAGUUAUGAAUAAAAUUUUACUGUGAAUUUAUAAAAACAAUGCCUAUACCUGUAAGAGUAGCUAAUAUGAUAGAAAAGGAAAAUGACAAAUGUUGGAGGGAAUGUGGGGAAAUUGGGACACUAAUGCAUUGUUGGUGGAGUUGUGAAAUGGCCUAACAAUUCUGGAGAGCAAUUUGGAACUAUGCCCAAAGGGCUAUAAAACUAUACCUACCCUUAGACCCAGUAAUACUCCUACUAGGUCUGUAUAAAAAUAUGAUAAUAAGUUUAAAAUAACUAUUACCUGGGGGGGGUAAUGAAGAGGUUCUUGAUACAUAUAAAUAGGAGGAAUAAGCAUUUAUUAAGAAUCUAUGAAGUGCCAGGCACUGUGCUAAGUGCCUUUUUUAAAAUGACAAAUAUUAUCACAUUUGAUCCUCACCACAACCCUGGGAAGUAAGUAUUGUUAUGAACCCCAUUUUACAGUUGAGGAAAUUGACUAAGUGCCCUGCCUAGGAUCAUACAGCUACUGCCUGAGGCUAUAUUUGAAUUCAGGUCUUCCUCACUCCUUGCCCAAAGCCUGGUGAACUGUCCUUCAACCAACUGCCUCUCAAUAGGCUACCAUGCAUUACAAAUAGGGAAUUAUAAGAGCAAGAAUAAAAGAUGUUAUAUCCAAAAAAAUGUAUGAGUGAAAACAAAGAUGGGUUAAUCAUGUGGUGAGAACAAGAAAUCACUGAUGAAUUUGAUUACAUGAAAUUAAAAAGUUUUUGCGCAAACAAAACCAAUGCAGCCAAGAUUAGAAGUAAAGCAGGAGAUUGGAGGUGGUGAGAGGAAUGGACUUACAGCAAGCUUCUCUGAUAAAGAUCCUAUUUCUCAAAUAUAUAGGGAACUGGACCAAAUGAGCACUGGGGUUCUUCACUGGCACAAUACCUUCUAUCGUACAGGAUACACAAAUAUGAAUGUGCUGUGAUAUGGGUGUAUGUGUAUAAUUCAUGGAUUGAUGAGAUCAUAGAUAUAUUUGAAUGCUCAAGUAUAAGUGACUCUACAACACUUUCUACAACCUUUUUUUCUCUCUUCAAGUCUUUUACAGCAUCCUCUCCCUUCUCCUUCUCAGCAAGGGAUCUCAUUCAUGCUUGUGUUGAAACCAGUUGCUACAGGCUCUCAAGAAAUAGUUGUUAAAUGUUUAGGAAGAGCAUUUAUACCUCAGAAAUUGGCCAAGGCUACAAACCAGAACUGUAUUGGGUUUUUUUUUGUUUGUUUGUUUUGAGGUUUUUUGUUUUGGGGGUUUUUUUUGAGGGGGAUGGUUUUUUAGAGCUGUAUUGUUUUAUCGAAUGUUCAGACUUAAAGUGACAGAGAACAUGCCACUUAAGUAGAUUCCAUUUAAAAGUGUUUCCUGUGUUCUUUUUUCUUCUCUAGAAAGAAAUUAAACAUUUACCACUAUACCACAAACUUUACUUCACACUACACUGAGAAAACACUUAGCUAAACACUUAGCUAUUCUGAUGUUUAAAAAGAGAUGUUCCUAUCAGAAAUGAAAAACAACUUACAACAAAGAAGAAAUUAAAUAAAUUUUCAGAAAUUAUUUUGCCUAAUUAUAUGCAAACAAAAUUAAUAAGUAAGGAGAAAGAAGUAUUUAUAAAAAGUCACCACAGAGAUAAACAAAACAAGAAACAGAUUCUUUGAAUAACCUAAUGUCAUAAAAAAGAAAUUGAAGAAGCCAUAAACUUUCAAAGGAAAAAACCGAGGACUAGAAUAUUUUUAAAGGAAAUAUAGCAACCACUCAAGAACAAUUAAUUCUAAUAUUAUAUAAACUAUGAUAAUAAGGCACCCUUCUAAUAUCUACAACACAAAUAUAUUCUUGAUAACUAAACCACUGAAAGAUAGCUUUUUCUUUUUAAUUGUAGACCAAUAUCCCCAAUGAAGAACAGCUAGGUGGACACAGGAGAUAAGAGUGCUGGGGCGUGGAGUCAGGAAGACUCAUCUUCCCGAGUUCAAGUCCAGCCUCAUAAUUUACUAUCUGUGUGAAUCUGGGCAAGUUACUUCACGCUGUUUGCCUCAGUUUCCUCAUCUGUAAAAUGAGCAAGAGAUGGAAAGGGCAAACUACCCUACUGUCUUUGCCAAGAAAACCACAAAUCAGGGCAUGGAGAGUUGGAAAUAACUGAAAAACGAUUAAACAAUGACAAAUAUUCCCAUGAACACUGGCACAAAAAUUUAAAAUAAGAUAUUAAUAUGUAGCCUACAACAACAUAUUAGCUAGAUUAUGAGAAAUUCAGGGUCGGUUCAACAUAAUGACUAAACCAGGGCUUAAGGAUAUCACAUAAGUUAAAAUGGACACUUAAUUAUACUAAUUUAAAGUUUUUAAUGAUGUAAAAAUUAGAAGGGAAAAAAUAACUUGAGAAAAAAGUUCACAAGUUACUCUAGGAAAGGUCUUAUUUCCAACAUAAAGGGUGUUCCCAAGGUUUUAGUGCAGUUUUAAGAUGUCUCCAGCUCUCUUUGAGAGAUCUCUUUCUCUCUCUCUUCCCUCCCCCCUCAAUCUCUCUCUUCUUCCUAUUCUCACUGUGUGUGUGUUUCCCUCUCUAUCUCUCUGUGAGUGUCUGCGUCUGUCUCUCUCCAGGACAUUUCUUCCCCCUCCUCUCUUUUCUCUCUCAAUCUCUUUAUCUCUCUCUCUAUCCUACUUCCUUCUCUGGCUCUUCCUGUCUCUCCUCCACUUCCCUGUUUUACUAUCUGUUUCUUUGUCUCUGUGUCUUUUCCUCUCCAAUAUGUCUCUCUCCCCCUCCCUUUUCUCUCCAUAUCUCUUUCCCUCUGUCUAUUUCUCCUUCCACUUCAGUAUGUCUCUCUCUCCCCCUCUUUAUCUCUCUCUCUGUAUUAUGAUCUUUGUCUCUCUUUAUCU